AUUUAUUUUCUUUUACGGACCGUCUUUAGCGCAAGUAGAAAAAGGGCUUGAUGGUUGGUACCCGAGACCCAAGUUUGAAUCCUAAUUGAUUCACAUUUUCAGCUAAGUUUAUUUCUAAAUAAAAUAAUGAAGCGGGUAGCGUGCUACCUAUCUUUCAAAAAAAAAAAGCAUUUAUUUUCUUUUAUUACUAAAAUUUGAAAAAAAAAAUAAAAAUUCUA
rnacentral:lncRNA from 1 species